rnacentral:rRNA from 1 species
GGGGGGGGGGGGGGGGGGGGGGGGGGGGGGGGGGGGGGGGGGGGGGGGGGGGGGGGGGGCGGCGGGGGUGGGGGGGGGCGGACGGGGGGGUGGUGGGUGGGGGGCUGCGGGAGGGGGGGGGGUGCCUCCGGGGAACGGUGGCGGGUCCCGCAUCGUGUCGCGGGGCGAGCGAGGGGGACCUUCGGGCCUCUUGCCAUCGGAGGUGCCCAGGUGGGAGUCGCUUGUUGGUGGGGUAACGGCGCACCCAGGCGAGGAGCCCUAGCUGGGCUGCGAGGAUGACCAGCCACACUGGAACUGAGACACGGUCCAGACUCCUACGGGAGGCAGCAGUGGGGAAUAUUGCACAAUGGGCGCAAGCCUGAUGCAGCCAUGCCGCGUGGAUGAAGAAGGCCUUCGGGUUGUAAAGUACUUUCAGCGGGGAGGAAGGGAGUAAAGUGAAUACCUUUGCUCAUUGACGUUACCCGCAGAAGAAGCACCGGCUAACUCCGUG